AGUGAACGCUGGCGGUAGGCCUAACACAUGCAAGUCGAACGGCAGCACAGUAAUAGCUUGCUCUUACGGGUUGCGAGUGGCGGACGUGUGAGGAAUACAUCGGAAUCUACUUUUUCGUGGGGGAUAACGUAGGGAAACUUACUCUAAUACCGCAUACGCCCUACGGGUGGAAGCAGUGGAUCUUCGGACCUUGCGCGAUUGAAUGCGCCGAUGUCGGAUUAGCUAGUUGGCGGGGUAAAGGCCCACCAAGGCGACGAUCCGUAGCUGGUCUGAGAGGAUGAUCAGCGACACUGGAACUGAGACACGGUCCAGACUCCUACGGGAGGCAGCAGUGGGGAAUAUUGGACAAUGGGCGCAAGCCUGAUCCAGCCAUACCGCGUGGGUGAAGAAGGCCUUCGGGUUGUAAAGCCCUUUUGUUGGGAAAGAAAAGCAGCAGGUUAAUACCCCGCUGUUCUGACGGUACCCAAAGAAUAAGCACCGGCUAACUUCGUG
rnacentral:rRNA from 1 species